UCUGACGUUUCAACUUUCAAGAAUUGUCAAACAUAACCACACGCGUAUAAAUAAAAGUGAAGUAUUGAUUUAUUUAUUUACAAAGGCGAUAGUACACUCGACAGUGCUUGUAUAAAUCAUAUACUUAAAUUCAGUAUCAAGAUGCAACGUUAAAAUACAGCAAAUGCAAGUGCAGAAUCGUCUCAAAGUGGUUAGGCAGAAAGAUUAUGAAGGUGACAUCGGAUCGAACUUAGGAUUGUCUAAUAAAAUGAUGGAGACCAGAUACUACGAAGGAUGCGGAAGAGAGGGGCCCAUACGGUGCAUAUUCCUGGGAGAGUUUCAUCCUGUGGCCGGGCCGAAGAUUUCAUGUCAGUUCCCUGAAGAUUAUAUAUCAAAAGAAGUGUUUGAUUCUAUCAGCGCGUUCAUCAUUCCAAAACCCCAGAUACAAAAAUGUACAAUGACUAUAAACGCACUGGGUCACAAAGUGGUGGGCUACCCGAUCCGGAUCGAUAACUCGCGGUACGAGCGCAAUGUUUACCUCUUCAACCUGUGUUUUGUCUGCGAUAGCUGGUCCAAAACUGUGCAAUACGAACCGGUUGUGAAAAAACUUGGAGAGCACCUGACGAUUAUGGAAGAGGAGACGCGGUUCGUGUCCAGCGGUUCAAGCAAGCUGCCCACUUUACUCGCGCAUCUGUUGCACGAUCUGAACACUCACAGGAAGGCCACAUUAGUCGAGGGCGACACUGUGAUGCACCUCAAAGUGCUGGAGAUUCGCAACGACCCGUCGCCGGUGCACGACCACGACGUGCCGGUGCUGGUGACGUCAGUGGGUCUGCCGCGACCCGGCCGCCCGCGCAGGACCACGCCGCCAGAGGGCGCUGAGAUACAAAGCGAUGAGCAUCUUGACCUGGAGGAUGAUGAGCCGUUCGAGAUCGACAUGGAGGCGGACUGGGAUCUUACAACUAGACAGCUCCUCCCAUACAUAAACGGAUACAACCACGUAUCAAAAAUAGCCGCCGACACGAACGUGGAGAAGACCCUGGUCAAGUCGUGCAUCCAGAACCUGCUGUACUACGGCGCGGUGACGCUGAUCCCGGUGCUCAAGUUCAGCAACAUGUACCGCGCCACGCCCAACCUGAGCCGUCUGUUCGGCGACACCGAGCUGCAGAAGUCGUGCCUCGCUUACAUCACUAAUGGAUCAGAUUCUAAAGACAAGCCCUGUCUAUCGGACGUGCUGGGUAUCCUGUGCUCCCUGCAGCAGGGUACGACGCUUCGUACUGUCAGCGAGAGAUACGUGACUGCGCAGGGCCCUCCCUUCGACAUCAGGCGGCUGGUGGUCUUCGCGCAGCUUCACGGGCUCAUCAGAUGUCUUAAAAAAUACCCAGUGUACGCGAAACAUCCUCCCAGGUCGAACGGGUUCAGCAGCCGCGCGGACCCCGUGCUGGGCAUCCGGCGACUCUUCACCGGCCACCACUGCACCGACGAGAUCUGCUGCAUGGCGCGCGUCGACCUCCCCACCCUCGACCAGAUCAUAGAGGACGACCCCAACGUUGUCAUCAUAUGGCGGUAAAGUGGUCCUUCGAGCCAGAUUUUGUUAUAUUGUUUGUGUAUAGAAAUGACUUUUAGUUUUGACGGCUGGAUUUUUUACGUCAUGAUUGUUUCUUUAAUAUUCGUACAGUUUGAUUCAAACUUAAUGGUGACUCGUGAACAAUGUACGUAUGAUGCGCUGAACCCAAUAGCGCACGUUCGUGUUUUGUUAUUAUGCGUUUGCGUUUUGCUAAAUAUGGUCAUUAUAAAUUUGGAUGACACAACAAAUUUAACGGCAUUUAUUUGAUAAUAUCGAUUUACUUUAACUCAUCUAAAAUAGAAAACCCGUGAUAUCUUCCAAAAAAAAUUCAAAAUUCAUCAACGAAAUACAUAGUAUUACAACAUUUUAUAAACUGUUUCAAAUAUAAAAAAUAAUUAAACUUUUAUAUUGAAUAUGAAUACUUAAUGUACCUAUUAUCGACUUGAUUUUACCUGCGCCUAAACCUAAGUGAAGUGGCCAUUAAGUUUGAGGCAUACAAAAUUUUAUUUCUAAAUGAUUUUUAAUUUAUGAACACACACGAUUUCAUUACAUUUUUCUACAAUAGGGAGACACAGAUGGAAAACAUUUUUUAUUCUCUCGUUUCAAUAUAAUGUGAAACGAACAGUUAUAAAUAUGUUGCGAUUUUGAGUCCCAAAUUUUAAUAUUACAAUAAAUAACUCAAUAGAAUUAAGGUGUCUAUUAAAUUAACUGUGUAAAAUAAAAUAAUUAUUAACUAAUAGAAACUCACAAAAUAUUUCAGCUUAGGUUUGAAAUGACUCAGUGGGAAUGUGCUGCGAUACUAUUGGUUGAUACUUAUGUCGUUUCAGACCAGUUUUGGUCGAUAGAUAUCCUUUAUUCUAUCAAUAAAAAUAGUUAGUAUUAAUACAUACAUUAAAUAGUAAAUUAUUCAUUAGUAAACAUAACGCUCUCAUUUUAUAUAGUUUGAUUCGUGAUUACUGAUCCAGACUGAGUGAGCUACACACCGUCAAUCAAUAUUGUCCGUUGGAACUGCGAGUUUGCUGUUCAGCUUGGACUGAUGGUGUGUGGCGUGUGGAAUUUAAGGCUGGCAACACGCGUACGUUUUAUUUAUCUCUGCUAGAGAGUUUGUGAAACAAAUUCCUUAUUUUAGUCACGAGUCGGGAACAUGACGCGUUACUUAUAAUAUUAAUGUUAAUUGUUAGUUAUUAUUAAUAUUUCUCAAAUGUAAUUAAUCUAAUUUUGUAUUAUUGUACAAUUCAAUAUAUUGAAUUGCCUAUAAAAAUAAUAUUUUUAACAUAGUUAAAGUAUACUUUAAAAUAAUAUGGACGUUAGCAUUCGUGUUCGUAAGACGGUUUCCCCAACGAUACGGCGCGCUGGCCGCAUCUUAAAAAGCUAUCUAUUUGAAAUUUAUAAUAAUACAUAUAAAAAGGAAAAUUAACAUCGUACAUAAUCAUAGUUGUUCUUUAUUUUGGUUGUUUAUUUUUUUUUAUUAUAUUUUUAUAUUCAUUUCAUAAUGAAAAUGACACUUUAAUUGUUAAUUCUAUGUAGCUCCUACAAAAGUACUCAACCAAUACUAUUAGAUAGACAUUUUAAUAAGGAUAAUUUUAGUGAAAUUUCAAAAAGAUCUAUAAUUGUUUUUUUAAUGCAUUUUUAAAUCAUUGAAUAUUCCCGUACGUAACUCGUGCGCCGAUUCUAUAAAAGGAAUGCUCAAGGCCGUUUGGUGGGGGGGAGGGUCUUAACUUAUGUAAAUUUUAACACGCGAGUUUCAACCGAACACCGCUUAUGAUAAAGUUGUAAAUAUGUUAGAUUAAACGCUUAAUUAAUUAUCAAGAGAGCGGCACCCGCCUGUAACAUCUAGCUUUAGAUUAAAAGAACACUUAAUUAUACAUCUUAGAUUAAAUGCUUCUUAAUAUCUGGUUAAAUGGCCAUAAUUAAAUGUGAUUAUCCAAUCAAAAAUCUACUCUUUCCUAAUAGCCGGCUUGUAACCUUAAGUACUGUAGGCAUUUAUCGUCUUUAUAAUCAUUUUUAAUUUGUGUUAUAGCCUUGAUCACAUUAUGUACUGAAGGAUAAGUCUCAACUGACUUUUUAUUUAGUUUCAAUUGUGACCAUAAUUUAAAUGCUUUUGUAGGCUAUUCCCCCCAAGCUUGCUUGAUUGUGGAUUAGACUACGGUCCCAUGGGCUACCCACCUGCUAGAUCUAGAUUGGUGUGUAGUCACUGCUGUUUCUAUUAACAGAGCUGGUUUUUUUAGCCCAGAGGUUUCCAAAAGUUUUUUUCCCAUAGACCACCUUUAAUAAAAUAUGGUUGAAAUUUUAAAUUCUUACCAUAUUCCCAAGAAUAUGCAAAUUUUUACAUGUAACAGCAAAUAUUAUCAAAAUCAGAUACAUUUUCGUGGAUCUCCGCUUACGAAUUGCGAAUCCACAUUUUUCGGUCACACCAACGAAGACCCGCGUUGAGUAUCUCGUGGACCGGUAAGGGUUUGGACCUUUGGGAAUCAAUGCUUUAGCCUCUCAGUUCCUUACACAGAUUGUUAUUAAUGGCAGUUAGGCAUUUAGUACUUCAAAUUUCUGUUAAUUUUGUAUUGCCCUGGCUUGAACACAUCGGGGUCGUGUCAUAGUCGCGGGCAGGUAAAGUCACUCCAUACAAACCAAUAUAUAAUGUGCGUAUAAUCAAACACAGAUUAAAAAUGUUUAUAAACUAUUACUCCACAACUAGUAUUUAGAUUUAUAAAGCACUACCAAUUAUAAUGUAUAUUUAAAAAUCCAUGUCUAACCAUUCAUGUAGAAAGUUUGCGGGCCGAAGGCUAGUCCCUGUCUAGGUUCCAUUGUACCAACGUUUAUCACUAAAUAUUUAGCUUAAAAUUAUUUAUUCCACUCGAUAUAAGGCAUAAUAUUCAAAUUUAAUCAAUUUACUUAAUAUUUUGUAUAUUUAGAAAAACAUUUUCAAUAAAAUUUUAAUUAAUCAACUUUGUGGCGAAAUUAGGUUAUUUAAAAUAUUAUCACAAAAAGUCGCUCUCCUGCAAAGAUUAGUCGCGAGGUCGCAAAUAUCAGUAUUUUAAAAUCGCUGCGACUUUUUCCACUACGUUCAGAAACUACGUUGAUAAUAAAUAAUAGUGCACAAUAGUUAGUUAAAAGUAUUUUUCAAACAAUGUAGUAUUAUGGUUAUUUUUUAAAGAGGCAUAGGGACAAGGCGACAUACAUAGUUAUUAUGAGUGAAUUUUUUUUUGGAAAAAAAUGUGAUAUCAACAAUUUAAACUUAAACGAGUGAUAGACUUGAGUAAAAACGCGUCCUCAUGGUUCGACGACCGUUUUUGCGUUUCUAUUGCCUUAUGUACGCAUUUUUAGACCCGCGAGUCGUCUAUCAACAUAAAGCACUUAAUUUUUGUAACAUGUUGAUAUAUAUCAUUCUUAAAUAACUUAGUUCUACUGGUGGGAGGUCCCGUAUGCGAGGGGCCGUCUGGGUUGGUACCACCGCAAUGUCUAUUUCUAUCGCCAUGCAGCAGUGUGCCUAUACUGUUGUGUUCCGGCUUGAAGGACAUUGUAGCCAGAAUAAUUACUGGGCAUAAUGAGAUUCAACAUCAUAUGUCUCAGAGAGUAUGUAUAAUAUUUUUACCGAUAUAGCUAGACAGGUUUAAUAUAUUAAAUGUUAUACCUACUUAUAUAUAAACACUGAAUAUAUAGUUACCAAUCGUUAAUUGCGCAUCAAGUCACAGAUAACUGCGCGUCAUGUCGUCCUGUGUUUAGUUGAGUCUCGUGCCUCUACAUGUACUUAUAUGUCCCAAAUAGUCAUAUUCGCUUUCCGUGACCAGUGUAAAUAAGUGAUAAUUAUUUAUAUAGUCUAGUUAACGUUAAAGUAUUUAAGUAUUUGUAAUAGGACUAAGUGAUAUUGUCGCAAAUUUCAUGGUGCCACUUGUUUUUACAUAUUUGCGAUUUUAUUGUCGCGCGGUCAUAGGCCCCCUUACAUUUAAUUACAUUAUCAAUUAUUAUAGUGUUUUUUAUCGGAUUGCGUUUUUUUUUUUUGGGAAUUGCCAUUGCGUACUUCUGCGGACCAUUUCAAUUUCAAAAUCUUCUAUAAUUUCUAUUGUUUUCAUAUAUACUUUUCAUUUCUUUUCUAUGCAUAUUUUUUUCGUUUUCAUAUUAUCUUUGUGUCUAUUAUUUCACUUCUGCGGUUUUGAAAUAAUGGUUCAGUAUUGGAGUAUUGCAAUUCUCUUUACCCUCAUUAGACAAGUCAAUUAUUGCUAGCAAUAGUCGUAUGCAACUAUUGGAAACCAUCUAAACCUCCACAGUGGUAAGACACACAGACACUUCUCGCUCGACGUAUACGAAUCUUUUGACAGAUGUUCAAAAUACGAUUGUCGCUAGCAAUAAUUGCUCCGUUUAAAUGAGGCUUUAGUUUAGUGCAUAAUGAUAAUUAUCACAAUCUUAGGUUAUUAUCCCGACUUAACCUUAGUAAGUUUCUCGUGGUUUUCUAUUUUGUUAAUCUUGCAACGUACAGUGAUUUUAGCUUAGUAUAGAUUAUUAUUCGUAUUUAAUUUUUAUCAUUCAAUUUAGUAUAAUCUGAGUUUAAGUAUAUGAUGUAUUUAUACCAUCCAUUUUAAAUAUAUUAAUUUAAUUUUUGUCUUGUUUCAAGUGGUAAACAUGGUAUGGUAAAUUGCGACAAUAUCACCAUGUUUCACUGUAUAUAACCAUAUGUGGUACACACGGCAUUCAAGUGCUUUUUUAAUUGUGCAUAAUUAGGGCAAUAACUUGUCUUAUAAUUAUAAGUGACCUCACACCCCGCACUGCCCCAAGGCAUUUACAAUGCAGUGAAACACACAAUAAAUGUUACAUUUAUCGGAUAUUGAUACAUAACUCAAUAAUAAUUUUCUUCGUUGUAUUUUUUAUUAAAAGACGCAGGGUUUAUAUAAAGGAAAUAAUUUUUGGAUAUUUGGUUGAUUUUAAUAUAAUAUUGACCCGUAAAUUUAUGUUUCUUGAGUCGUAUCCCUUAUUAUCGAGCGAGUGUUGCUCGGCUCGUCUUUCAAUUAAAUAAAAUAAAAUGAUUUUAUCAUUGUUUGAGCAGUCAAAUUAUAAUUACAUGUAUAUUUAUAUAGUACUUGACAAUCCAACAUCAUUCAUUUUUUAAAAUCAAGCUAUAAUAGCCAAUUAUAGGAUUGCACAACAUAUUUAUAUAGGUACCAUAUAUUGCGUAAAAAUAAUAUCAUGUUACGAAAUCAAGUGCUGAGUACGUAUGGAUGUGUAAUCUCGUGUGUUACGGUAAAUUUGCUAUAUCUGAUUAUUUAUCCAUACCAUUCCAAUUUUAUCCGACAUGUAGAUAUAUCCGAAGAGAUCAUGUAACGUUUAUUUUGUGUCACUGCACGCUUAUUCGUCUCCUCAUAAUUUAAGAUAGUAUAUGAACGUUGAACAGUGACUAUAUAUUUAUUAUAAACUGAGAGCAGUGUGUUAACCGUUGCCAGUAUACUCGUUUGGUAUUUGUAGUUAAGGAUUCUCAGAAUAUAUGUACUGAGAAUAUGUUUCAUAGAAGUUAGUUUGUUAGUUCUAGAGCAACCAGCUCCUUGAAGUUAGAGUACUUGCUACUUUUAACAUGUGUAUCCCAGGCGUGUAUAUACGCUUAUAUUUAACGGUACUAGGUUAGCGUUAAUUAUUACGAAAGUGUUCCUCUAUAUUAAUAGAAUAAUCAAUAUUAUAAUCCGCUUUAACUAACUGAUUGUAGCUUGAUUUAAAUAUAAGAAAUCAUUUAUAUUAUAAAGCUCGCUUUUCAAGGAUUUUGAACGUGCAUAAAGUCGUCAGCAUAUUUUUUUGUUUUGCGACAUAUUUGCCGAUAUAUUGGCUGUUGAGAGCGGUCUCAAGUCGUUCAGAGUACAAUAAAAUAUUUAAAAUAGAUACUUAGUUACUUAAUAAAAAGCGUAGACAGUUGAUAGUCAAGGUUUUAACAAAACUCCGUCGUCGUUGGUCCUUCGAACCGUUUUUGCAAGCUCAUAUAUUUUAUCCGUUGUUCAAGAAUUAAAUUUCAGCUAAUGGCUGUGGCGUAUUCUACAGAAUUAACAGAUUAAUUAUAUCCUUCAUACAAGAAUCAAACUUUAGCUAAUGCCUAUGGUAUAUUCUACAAAACUAACACAGAUUUAUUAUAUCCGUCAUACAAGAAAUAAAUUUCAACUAAGGCCUCUGGCAUAUUCUACAGAAUUAACACAGAUUAAUUAUAUCCAUCAUACAAGAAUUAAAUUUCAAUUCACGGCUGUGGCAUAUUCUACAGAAUUAACACAGAUUAAUUAUAUCCGUCAUACAAGAAUUAAAUUUCAAUUCGCGGCUGUGGCAUAUUCUACAAAAUUAACGCAGAUUUAUUAUAUCCGUCAUACAAGAAUUAAAUUUAAAUUAACAGCUGUGGCAUAUACUACAGAAUUAACACAGAUUAAUUAUAUCCGUCAUACAAGAAUUAAAUUUCAGAUAAUGCCUGUGGCAUAUUCUACAAAAUUAACGCAGAUUUAUUAUAUCCGUCAUACAAGAAUUAAAUUUAAAUUAACAGCUGUGGCAUAUUCUACAGAAUUAACACAGAUUAAUUAUAUCCGUCAUACAAGAAUUAAAUUUCAGAUAAUGCCUGUGGCAUAUUCUACAGAAUUAACACAGAUUAAUUAUAUCAAUCAUACAAGAAUUAAAUUUCAAUUAACGGCUGUGGCAUAUUCUACAAAAUUAACACAGAUUUAUUAUAUCCGUCAUACAAGAAUUAAAUUUCAAUUAACGGCUGUGGCAUAUUUUACAGAAUUGCCACACGUUUAUUAUAUCCAUCAUACAAGAAUUAAACUUCAGCUAAUGCCUGUGGCAUAUUCUACAGAAUUAGCACAGAUUAAUUAUAUCCGUCAUACAGGAAUUAAAUAUCAAUUAACGGCUGUGGCAUAUUCUACAGAAUUAACACAAAUUAUUUUAUCCGUCAUAUAAGAAUUAAAUUUUAGCUAAUGGGUGUGGUAGAUUUUACAGAAUUGCCACACGUUUAUUAUAUCCGUUAGACAAGAAUUAAACUUCAAUUAAUGGAUGUGGCAUAUUCUUCAAAAUUUUCUCCGUCAUACAAGAAUUAAAUUUCAGCUAAUGGAUGUGGUAGAUUCUACAGAAUUAACAUAGAUGAAUUGUAUACGUCAUACAAGAAUUAAAUUUCAAUUAAUAGCUGUAGUAGAAUCUACAGAAUUAACACAGAUUUAUUUUAUUCGUCACUAGAUGACCCGGUUAACUUCGUAUCACCUACAUAUAUUUGUUAAUAAUUAUUAAUUUUCACUGUGGAACGUGAUUAAAACAUAGCAAUACGAUUAUCAUUAUCCGUUUCUCGCUGGUCGAUAGUGCGGUUUGCACGUGAGGUAGUUCGUCGCCUAUUUGAUUGACUUCGACGACCUACAUGAGGUCGUCUUCUCUGUGGCAUUUUCAAAAAAAUAAUAAUAAUUAAAGUUCUCGUGCACCUACAAACUGAUCAUAGAUUUUAAUUAGUCUUGAAAUUUCUUUAUUUAUUUUCUUUUCGACAACCAACUGACACUUUUUAACUUUUCUUAUUUCUGAAAUGUUUUGCAUUUCAACAAAAUAAACCAAAGAGAUCGGACCCUAUACUACAUCUAUAGCUAAUGGCUGUGGUAGGUUUUACAGAAUUGCCACACAUUUAUUAUAUCCGUCAUACAAGAAUUAAAUUUCAGCUAAUGACUGUGUAGGUUUUACAGAAUUGCCACACGUUAAAUAUAUCCGUCAUACAAGAAUUAAAUUUCAGCUAAUGGCUGUGUAGGUUUUACAGAAUUGCCACACAUUUAUUAUAUCCGUCAUACAAGAAUUAAAUUUCAGCUAAUGGCUGUGUAGGUUUUACAGAAUUGCCACACAUUUAUUAUAUCCGUCAUACAAGAAUUAAAUUUCAGCUAAUGGCUGUGGUAGGUUUUACAGAAUUGCCACACAUUAAAUAUAUCCGUCAUACUAGAAUUACAUUUCUGCUAAUGGCUGUGUAGGUUUUACAGAAUUGUCACACGUUAAAUAUAUCCGUCAUAUGACAAAUAAAUUUCUACUAAUGGCUGUGUAGGUUUUACAGAAUUGCCACACAUUUAUUAUAUCCGUCAUACAAGAAUUAAAUUUCUGCUAAUGGCUGUGUAGGUUUUACAGAAUUGCCACACAUUUAUUAUAUCCGUCAUACAAGAAUAACAUUUCUGCUAAUGGCUGUGGUAGGUUUUACAGAAUUGCCACGCAUUAAAUAUAUCCAUCAUACAAGAAUUAAAUUUCAGCUAAUGGCUGUGUAGGUUUUACAGAAUUGCCACACGUUAAAUAUAUCCGUCAUACAAGAAUAACAUUUCUGCUAAUGGCUGUGGUAGGUUUUACAGAAUUGCCACGCAUUAAAUAUAUCCGUCAUACAAGAAUUAAAUUUCAGCUAAUGGCUGUGUAGGUUUUACAGAAUUGCCACACGUUUAUUAUAUCCGUCAUACAAGAAUAACAUUUCAGCUAAUGGCUGUGGUAGAUUUUUCAGAACUGCCAUUGACUUUGUCGUACAAGUUUCGUUAUAGUAGGGGUUGUUACGAUAUCGCGAAACUAGCACUGUUAAAAACCGCUUAACUGACUAAAAUAGUCAAAUUGAGAUCUAUACAUAAAAUACUAAGUAAUUAACGAUACAUUCAGUUUUAAGUCUCCCCCGAAAAUAUCUACUUGCGCGAUAAUGUAUAUUCUAAUCCCGACUAUAUGAAUUUCUCGCAAAGCGGUUCGUCGGACAUAUAGAUGCUUUUAGUCAAAUAUCAUAUUAUAGGGUACUUAAAUAUUCAAAUGCCAUGCGAAGAUUCUUGAUACAUUUUCUAAACAAAUUGUAGGAACAUAACAUCAGAAAAGUGCAUGUACCCAGAACUACAAUUACACCAGUAAAUAUAUCAGUGACUUGUAACUGUGUACGUUCACUGUAUCGGUUAGUAGAUUAUUGCCAUUAGUACUUAUUGGUUACAUUAUUAAAAUAUAAGCUAUAGUAAAUCGAAUAAAGUAUAUUUUCCGUAGUAUAUCGGCAUGAGUGAAAAUCCGG
rnacentral:misc_RNA from 1 species